AAGCUAGCACAAGCUUAAGAAAAUCAGUGUUUUUAGAUCCUAAGCUCUUUGAGUCUGUGGAGCUCCCCCAGAAGGUUACACUGGAGUUUUUAUUUUAUUUUAUUUUUUGUAGGCCAUUGUGGCGUUCACUCAUAGUAAUAUAAUUUCUGCAUAUGGACUGAAGUGGAGAUCUUGCUGUACUAUUAAAAUGCUUUAAUGCUAGUUGUUAAAAUACCACAAGUGUUCAGAAAUAGAGUAUAUUCAAUACAAGUUACAUAUAUUCUCCAUGUGCAUUCAAUGUUAGACCUAUCAUAAACGACUCCUUGUAUGUCACAACUGUAACCGUAACUAACGCACAGCUGUGGUCACAGCCACUAUCACGCUGACAGUUUGUCUUCCAACAACUUUAGUCAAAAAUCACAGCUACAGUCUAAGAGCUCCUCUAGUUUCUGUAGUAACUGAAUACCUGUGCCUGAACAGUCACAACUGAAAGUCAACUUACUCGUGUAGUGGUCAAAAUGAGUAUAAUGCAAUUUCAUAAUAGAGUUUAGCUUUUUUUUUUUUUUUUUUUCUUUUUUUUUUUUAACAUGGAUCAGAGAAAACAUUACUGCAAGAGAACACAAACCUAGUCCAGAAAAAUAUUCUCAGUGUUAACCCUUAGAGGGCUCUGCAUGAUUCAGGAAAAGAAAGUCACAAUUUUAUGGGAGAACUUGUACUGUUGCAUAACAUUCAUGACAGUGAGUUAGGCUUCAGCAUUCAGUUUAAUCGGUCCAAUUUAGCAAAGAGAUCAUGCAGGCAUGUGAGAUUUUUGUCUAUUUUUAGCAUUAUAUCCAAGCUAAUUCAAUUUUAACUGGUGCUGUGGUUGUAGAUGCAUUUAUCUGAACAUUCUAAUUGUCAGCUUGCACCUAAUGUUGUUGGAUACAAAAAUCAUUAAUAGUGUAUUGCUCUCAAAUGAUUUGAGUCAACUAUUUUAGGCUGCCUUUCUGCCCUGUGCUGGUUUUUGUCUGGGAUUUUCAGAGUCAGGGUUUCACAAGUCGUUAUGUAAUCUCUUUGUGAAGAUGCUUUCUUCCAUUGCUUCAGUUGCACGUUGAAUAACCCGCUAACUUGUGAAAAGUUUUGGGGCUUCUUUGGAUAUAGUGUUUCAGCCAUUUUGGGUUUUUUGGCUGUCUUUUACUGCCAAAGCUUUGAGAUAUCUACAGUGUUGCAUGUAAAGCAGACUUGAGUAGGUUACGUGGACCCUACAGCAUCUCUGUACAGUUGCCCCCAUUCCCAAAUAAUAUCUGUCCCGAUUUUAAAUGUGCUUUAUCCACUAAAGAUAUCUUCAUGUAUUUGCACUCAAACAGCAUGAACUAUGCUCCACCCACUGGAAAGAUAUUUAUAUAUUCACAUUGUUCCCUGUUUGUGUGCCUAUUUCUCUUAUACUGGAAAAUAAUAACUGGGGUGGUUUAACUUAUGGAGUUGCUGCAUUUUGAAAGUAGCCAAAAGAAUGUAACUUAAACUCUAAAGGCAAUUUGUCAUGUAAAUACUGGAGAGUUAUGUUGAUUUUAGCUGUCAGUUCUAGCUUGUUGAGUUGAUCUGGUCUCUGUUCCACAAAAUUGUUCUUUACAUGCUCACGUUUUUCCUGCAAAACCUUGUGUCCACCAAGAACCUCACAACAAAAGAUUACAUUUUGUCAAAUACAUAAGUUUUUUUUUUUUGUAAAUUAACUUUCAUUUUAAGUCCAAAUUUAAAAAAAAAAAAAAAAAAAAAAAAAUCUAACUAAUAAAUGUGAAAGUUGCUGCUGUCUCCUUUAAUAGCCAUCUUGUUGUCAUUGUUGGAGAUCCUCUGUGGGCACAAGGCCUAAUAGCCUAUUGCAAUGUGUCAAGCACCAAAAUGCAUUUGAAGAAUAUUUAUAAAUUGUUGUUUGCAGUAAAAAUGACUAAAGAUCAAAAUUAAGCGAGCAAAAAUGUUGAUGGUGAGAUAUGUCCCAAUUUUUCCAUUGCACCAUGCCUUUGCAUUUCUACUGAUAUUUGUGAGCUUGUUAAAGAGGAAAAUAAUUGAGAUUGAGUGCCAAGUACAUUGCUCCUCUUCUUGUAGUGUGGCCGUUUGUUGUUUCGAGAUGUGCUUAACACUGUUUAUCUGUUCAUGUUUCCAUGCAAGAACGCACAGUGUUUGUACCAGGCUUAAGUUACUUUUAUGCUUUCUCUUCAGCCUGUUUGUAGGUGUAUGUGUGCUGGGGGGUGCAGCCCUAAUGUCCAAGCUAUUUACACAUGUCAAACCAGAGUCAAACGGUUUAGGUUAUAGCUAAUCAAACAGCCUUCAUGUCCAUAACAUGGUUGAAAUGUAAUUCAUGUCCUUAAUUUUGGCCUUUGGCCAGAAUAUAGAAAAAGAAAAUGUUUGACUUUAUAGCUGAGCUAAGGCAAAUGGACAUGGUUUUAAUUCUUAAUAUUUAGCCCCACAGUUAUUACAGUAUAUAACACAUGAACUGUUAGUUGGUGAAAAAGAUGUGUACCUUUUUCAUACUCAAUGAGCUGUCUGUGAGUAGUUUUCUGAAAUAUCAUACACACAUAAGUAAUAACAGUGAAAGAUUAGACGGCAGUCUAUAAGCUAGGCAGUGGUAAGUAUUGGCCCAAUCUUAUUUGCCGAGCCUUUUGUAGCACAUAGCCAAGUUAGUGGACUGAGACUAUUUCAUGGACUGCUUGACCCUGGUUUGGCUCUGUCCCGUUUCAUUUCCAUUCUGUAUUAACUGACACACCUACUACACAUUUUAAAGUUUUAUAUGAAAUAUAAUGAACCCGAUAUAAAUGAUUUAUUGGGCUGAUAAUUUAAAUGUUUCACCCUUGAGAAAAGUUCAGUUAUGUCAAGUGUGAUUAUGGGAGGAGUACUGAGAUGUGCGAUGUGGCUGUAAGCUCAACUGCUUUUGUCUGCAGGCAUAUACUGUGUAAAGAAAACCUUUCAGAUUAUGAAACCUAUCAAAUUUCAUUAUGCAUUUGAAUCAUUAAACAAUGUAAAAAAAUCACCUGUACUUACUUGAAUUUUGGUGUAGAUACCAGUUCUAUCUGGCUUCAUUUCAGCGUGUGAAGCAGUGAUUUUAAUGUUGAAACAACAAGUUUGAAAUGACUUUCUUUAUCACAAUUUUUGUCAUUUCAUCUUAAAAUUGUACAAAUUUCUGGUAAGGUGCUUUAAAUUGUGUAGAACUGUAAUCCCACUGCUGCUGUCCUUUACAAUUAUGGUUAGAGGUAGCUUUUUCUGACUCCUGUACUUUGCAUGCUCAACUUUGUCUAUGCAAAGCAUUACAAGCACAAAAUAUUCCAUCUUCCUGACUUUGACCAUGUUUGCGACACCGUAAGAAUCACACUGUCAUAUUUUUUUCUGUUUUAUUAAAACUCUUGGUAUGCUUGCGCAGGAAAGGUUUCACUAGAUGUGCCGUAUGUGCUUUUUCCUUCAUAGCUGUUUUUUUGAUUGAUUACUGUUUUGGUCCUUUGUCUUUUCACUUAAAUAUACAGCUUAAACAAAUUGCAACCAUGGUUUUCUCUGGUAUUUGCCACAGUGAGCAAAGUUUUCAGUGUACUCCGUUAUGUAACCUGCUGGUCAUAAUGACAAAUACUGAAAUGUUUGGAGGUAAUUGAAAGGUAAAUCCCUAUUGCUAUAGUUAAAGACUUGUCAAAGGAAAAAAAACUUUUAGCUCAGGUCUUCCAAUAAAACUCCCUGUAAGUUUUAAAGGUUAUUUAUUUCUGUUUUCUGCACUUUAUAGUCCUCUGAGAGCCAAAUUAAUUGAAACGCUAUAAGUAAGACUUAAUAUUCUGAAAGUAUUACCUAAUGUUGAUGCAGGUACACCAUUUAAUAAUAUUGUAAACAAGACGAAAUGGUCAUACACAAUUUGGCCAUUUAGACACUAUAACCAUUGUCCAUCCCUGAAUUUGUAAUUCUGUAAUGGAACAAACAAAAUUGCCCCAGGUAUUUAAGUGCAUUUACAUAUGGUUAUCAAUAUUUUUAUGUCUAAAAGAGUUAAGUGCCACAUGCAAACAUCUGUACAUGUAUAUACGUGUAUAUGCAUGUACAUACUUUGAAAUCCAUGUUUCUGUAGUUGCAGCGCAGACUUGACAAAAGAUUGAAAUACUUUUCUUUGUGUGUGCGUGUACAUACUCAUAGAGUUCAAUUUAAGUUCUUGAAUGUUAGCUGUUGAACUGUGCAUGAUAUGUUUCUGUGUCUUUGCUAGGGUUGGGGACAAUACACAGCCAACAGAGUGUUAAGAGUAGCAGUUAAAUACCAUAGUGCCAUUUAUGCCGCGUGUAAGAGGUUUAAUGAUGAGUGGGGAAAAUGUUCACUGUUGGGCUGGCUCCAAACCAAACUCCACCCUUCGUUUUGACACCUUUCAGCUUACGAGGAUCAAGGAUGGAUGGAAGGAAAAGGAGGAACUCUUUCCCUGCCCUCCGUGCAUGACCGGACAGGAACACAACUACCAUCACUUCCUCCACCCCCUCCAUUUCUCCUCUCCUAUCCUUCUCCACCCAUCCUUCUCUCUAUCUGUUGUCUGCCUGGUUUAAGAGCAGCGGAUGGAAGACCCUGACCUGUGUAAGGCUAUGUUAUCCAAACUUCUAUACUCAUGGUAACUAAAGAUGACAAAAGAAUCUUUCCAAACAGCUCUUUUAUUUUUAUGAUGUUUUAUUUGACAUGAAAAGUAAGCGUGAUGCUUUUUUGCGACUUAUAAAUAAAUAAAUGGCCUGCACGAUCCCCAAAUAGAAGACACAAACAUUACACCCUUUUGUUUUUUUUGUUGUUUUUUUCUUGUUCUUUGGCUCGCUGUAUUGUGUGUGUAUAUACAGUUUAGAGAUUAGUUUUUAUAAGGUAUGUGCUUGAUGUUUUCUCUCCUACCCUCACUCUCUCGUUCUCAUUUAUUCUUUUCAUGGCUAGUACGUUUGUAAAUGUCUCUGCUUUUUGAUUAAAAUUAGAUGGUGUUGUAAUAAAAAAUGUUUACUGAGGUACACUCUGCAUUCAGUGAAUUCCUCUACGUUUCGUUCAUUUAUAUUAAAUGUAUAUACUGAC
ensembl:lncRNA